UUAAGCGACUAAGCGUACACGGUGGAUGCCCUGGCAGUCAGAGGCGAUGAAGGACGUGCUAAUCUGCGAUAAGCGUCGGUAAGGUGAUAUGAACCGUUAUAACCGGCGAUUUCCGAAUGGGGAAACCCAGUGUGAUUCGUCACACUAUCAUUAACUGAAUCCAUAGGUUAAUGAGGCGAACCGGGGGAACUGAAACAUCUAAGUACCCCGAGGAAAAGAAAUCAACCGAGAUUCCCCCAGUAGCGGCGAGCGAACGGGGAGGAGCCCAGAGCCUGAAUCAGUGUGUGUGUUAGUGGAAGCGUCUGGAAAGGCGCGCGAUACAGGGUGACAGCCCCGUACACAAAAAUGCACAUGCUGUGAGCUCGAUGAGUAGGGCGGGACACGUGGUAUCCUGUCUGAAUAUGGGGGGACCAUCCUCCAAGGCUAAAUACUCCUGACUGACCGAUAGUGAACCAGUACCGUGAGGGAAAGGCGAAAAGAACCCCGGCGAGGGGAGUGAAAAAGAACCUGAAACCGUGUACGUACAAGCAGUGGGAGCCUCUUUAUGGGGUGACUGCGUACCUUUUGUAUAAUGGGUCAGCGACUUAUAUUCUGUAGCAAGGUUAACCGAAUAGGGGAGCCGAAGGGAAACCGAGUCUUAACUGGGCGUUAAGUUGCAGGGUAUAGACCCGAAACCCGGUGAUCUAGCCAUGGGCAGGUUGAAGGUUGGGUAACACUAACUGGAGGACCGAACCGACUAAUGUUGAAAAAUUAGCGGAUGACUUGUGGCUGGGGGUGAAAGGCCAAUCAAACCGGGAGAUAGCUGGUUCUCCCCGAAAGCUAUUUAGGUAGCGCCUCGUGAAUUCAUCUCCGGGGGUAGAGCACUGUUUCGGCAAGGGGGUCAUCCCGACUUACCAACCCGAUGCAAACUGCGAAUACCGGAGAAUGUUAUCACGGGAGACACACGGCGGGUGCUAACGUCCGUCGUGAAGAGGGAAACAACCCAGACCGCCAGCUAAGGUCCCAAAGUCAUGGUUAAGUGGGAAACGAUGUGGGAAGGCCCAGACAGCCAGGAUGUUGGCUUAGAAGCAGCCAUCAUUUAAAGAAAGCGUAAUAGCUCACUGGUCGAGUCGGCCUGCGCGGAAGAUGUAACGGGGCUAAACCAUGCACCGAAGCUGCGGCAGCGACGCUUAUGCGUUGUUGGGUAGGGGAGCGUUCUGUAAGCCUGCGAAGGUGUGCUGUGAGGCAUGCUGGAGGUAUCAGAAGUGCGAAUGCUGACAUAAGUAACGAUAAAGCGGGUGAAAAGCCCGCUCGCCGGAAGACCAAGGGUUCCUGUCCAACGUUAAUCGGGGCAGGGUGAGUCGACCCCUAAGGCGAGGCCGAAAGGCGUAGUCGAUGGGAAACAGGUUAAUAUUCCUGUACUUGGUGUUACUGCGAAGGGGGGACGGAGAAGGCUAUGUUGGCCGGGCGACGGUUGUCCCGGUUUAAGCGUGUAGGCUGGUUUUCCAGGCAAAUCCGGAAAAUCAAGGCUGAGGCGUGAUGACGAGGCACUACGGUGCUGAAGCAACAAAUGCCCUGCUUCCAGGAAAAGCCUCUAAGCAUCAGGUAACAUCAAAUCGUACCCCAAACCGACACAGGUGGUCAGGUAGAGAAUACCAAGGCGCUUGAGAGAACUCGGGUGAAGGAACUAGGCAAAAUGGUGCCGUAACUUCGGGAGAAGGCACGCUGAUAUGUAGGUGAAGCGACUUGCUCGUGGAGCUGAAAUCAGUCGAAGAUACCAGCUGGCUGCAACUGUUUAUUAAAAACACAGCACUGUGCAAACACGAAAGUGGACGUAUACGGUGUGACGCCUGCCCGGUGCCGGAAGGUUAAUUGAUGGGGUUAGCGGUAACGCGAAGCUCUUGAUCGAAGCCCCGGUAAACGGCGGCCGUAACUAUAACGGUCCUAAGGUAGCGAAAUUCCUUGUCGGGUAAGUUCCGACCUGCACGAAUGGCGUAAUGAUGGCCAGGCUGUCUCCACCCGAGACUCAGUGAAAUUGAACUCGCUGUGAAGAUGCAGUGUACCCGCGGCAAGACGGAAAGACCCCGUGAACCUUUACUAUAGCUUGACACUGAACAUUGAGCCUUGAUGUGUAGGAUAGGUGGGAGGCUUUGAAGUGUGGACGCCAGUCUGCAUGGAGCCGACCUUGAAAUACCACCCUUUAAUGUUUGAUGUUCUAACGUUGGCCCCUAAUCGGGGUUGCGGACAGUGUCUGGUGGGUAGUUUGACUGGGGCGGUCUCCUCCUAAAGAGUAACGGAGGAGCACGAAGGUUGGCUAAUCCUGGUCGGACAUCAGGAGGUUAGUGCAAUGGCAUAAGCCAGCUUGACUGCGAGCGUGACGGCGCGAGCAGGUGCGAAAGCAGGUCAUAGUGAUCCGGUGGUUCUGAAUGGAAGGGCCAUCGCUCAACGGAUAAAAGGUACUCCGGGGAUAACAGGCUGAUACCGCCCAAGAGUUCAUAUCGACGGCGGUGUUUGGCACCUCGAUGUCGGCUCAUCACAUCCUGGGGCUGAAGUAGGUCCCAAGGGUAUGGCUGUUCGCCAUUUAAAGUGGUACGCGAGCUGGGUUUAGAACGUCGUGAGACAGUUCGGUCCCUAUCUGCCGUGGGCGCUGGAGAACUGAGGGGGGCUGCUCCUAGUACGAGAGGACCGGAGUGGACGCAUCACUGGUGUUCGGGUUGUCAUGCCAAUGGCACUGCCCGGUAGCUAAAUGCGGAAGAGAUAAGUGCUGAAAGCAUCUAAGCACGAAACUUGCCCCGAGAUGAGUUCUCCCUGACUCCUUGAGAGUCCUGAAGGAACGUUGAAGACGACGACGUUGAUAGGCCGGGUGUGUAAGCGCAGCGAUGCGUUGAGCUAACCGGUACUAAUGAACCGUGAGGCUUAACCU
rnacentral:rRNA from 1 species